UACCAGCACCCCGAGUGGUCGGGACGAUUAUUGGGCCUAAAGCAUCCGUAGCCGGUCCUACAAGUCUUCCGUUAAAUCCACCUGCUUAACAGAUGGGCUGCGGAAGAUACUAUAGGGCUAGGAGGCGGGAGAGGCAAGCGGUACUCAGUGGGUAGGGGUAAAAUCCUCUGAUCCAUUGAAGACCACCAGUAGCGAAGGCGGCUUGCCAGAACGCGCUCGACGGUGAGGGAUGAAAGCUGGGGGAGCAAACCGG
rnacentral:rRNA from 1 species